rnacentral:rRNA from 1 species
UACGAAGGGGGCUAGCGUUGUUCGGAAUCACUGGGCGUAAAGCGCACGUAGGCGGAUGUGCCAGUCAGGGGUGAAAUCCUGGAGCUCAACUCCAGAACUGUCUUUGAUACUGGCGACCUUGAGUCCGGGAGAGGUGAGUGGAACUGCGAGUGUAGAGGUGAAAUUCGUAGAUAUUCGCAAGAACACCAGUGGCGAAGGCGGCUCACUGGCCCGGUACUGACGCUGAGGUGCGAAAGCGUGGGGAGCAAACAGG